rnacentral:lncRNA from 1 species
UAUUUCUUUUUAGGUGCUUCUGCACAUGAUUUAUGGAGAAAGAAUUCACAUUGUGAACAACAGUAAAAUAAAGUUGAGAUGGAUAACAUGCAACCAUCACAAACUUUAUGACCCUUAGAAUCAUUGCUUAGAACCAAGUUAUGCUGAUGGUUCAAAUGCUUUAUCUCUGAAGCUAUUACAAUGUCUUCUCCAAGUUUAGUCACUCUGAUAACAGCGAAGGCCGAC